AUAAAUAAAAGAUAAUUUAAUUAUCAACAUCUUGUGAAACGUUCUGUCUCUGGCGGAAGGGUGACAUUUCUUCCUUUGGGAAGUGGUCAUCUGUCAGCUUGUGUUUGUUGCUCGCAACAAUGCAGGCCGUGGACAAGCCGCCAAACAUGUAACAAACCUUUUUUUAAUUUUUAUAAAACUAACAUUCUUUGUAUUAAUGUACAAAA
rnacentral:misc_RNA from 1 species